UCAUGAACAAGUGCAGAUCUAAGGUACUGGAUCAGAUGGCGUGUAUGCUUACAGAAUUAUGUGGGUGUGCUUGAGUACAACUACAAGCAUGCACGUUUUAUGUAAAUGUUGAGAUGUCUAUAAUUCAACUUGUACUUGAACUCCCCAAUAUAUUGAAUUGCAGAACAUUUGUGGCUUGAAGUUUUAGAUGUGCACUUGAGAUUAAGAAGCAAAAUCCAAGCACUUCUUCCUUACCCAGCAUUGCCCCAGAAUGUUGUGUUUAUGUGUUGGUGUGGUGGGGAGGAACCAAAUUUCUCCCUGAAGGCUUUUUCUUUAUUCACAUGCUUUUUGCUUAUCAGGAGCAAUAACAAUGAGUGUUAUGUUUUCGGCUUUGAAAGAUUGUUUUUCAUGCAGCAGGAACUUAUACACAUGUAUGCAAAUAUGAAAUUCAUUGUAUUCUAUUAGUUCUUAUGAGGUAAAAAUCUUCCUUGUCAGACAGUAAUAUUUCUAUGGUUAAGUCAUUGAAACAAAAACUUUAUACCUAGGUCAGUAUCUUGAGAUUGAAAACUAGCUGGUUAAACUGUUCACUAUUGUAUCUAUUUUGCUGUAUAAACUUUUGCUUCAAUAAUAAAUCCUCUGUUAUAA
rnacentral:misc_RNA from 1 species